UACGUAGGUGGCAAGCGUUGUCCGGAAUUAUUGGGCGUAAAGGGUUCGCAGGCUUUCCGUUAAGUUUUUGUUCAAAGCCCGAGGCUCAACCUCGGAAGGGGGUGUAAUACUGCUAGGCUUUGAAGAAUAUCGGGGCUAUUGGAACUUACUAUGUAGGAGUGAAAUCCGUUGAUAUGGUAAGGAACACCGAGGGCGAAGGCGGAUAGCUAGGUAUUUCUUGACGCUAAGGAACGAAAGCUAGGGUAGCGAAAGGG
rnacentral:misc_RNA from 1 species